rnacentral:rRNA from 1 species
AGGACGAACGCUGGCGGCGUGCUUAACACAUGCAAGUCGAGCGGAAAGGCCCUUCGGGGUACUCGAGCGGCGAACGGGUGAGUAACACGUGAGCAACCUGCCCUUAGCUUCGGGAUAGCUCCGGGAAACCGGAAUUAAUACCGGAUAUGACUAUGGCCGACAUCAGCCAUGGUGGAAAGUUUUUCGGCUAGGGAUGGACUCGCGGCCUAUCAGCUAGUUGGUGAGGUAACGGCUCACCAAGGCGACGACGGGUAGCCGGCCUGAGAGGGCGACCGGCCACACUGGGACUGAGACACGGCCCAGACUCCUACGGGAGGCAGCAGUGGGGAAUAUUGCGCAAUGGGCGAAAGCCUGACGCAGCGACGCCGCGUGGGGGAUGAAUGCCUUCGGGUUGUAAACCCCUUUCAGCAGGGACGAAGCGAAAGUGACGGUACCUGCAGAAGAGCGCCGGCUAACUACGUGCCAGCAGCCGC